UACGGGGGGGGCAAGCGUUGUUCGGAAUUACUGGGCGUAAAGGGCUCGUAGGCGGCCAACUAAGUCAGACGUGAAAUCCCUCGGCUUAACCGGGGAACUGCGUCUGAUACUGGAUGGCUUGAGUUUGGGAGAGGGAUGCGGAAUUCCAGGUGUAGCGGUGAAAUGCGUAGAUAUCUGGAGGAACACCGGUGGCGAAGGCGGCAUCCUGGACCAACACUGACGCUGAGUGAGCGAAAGCCAGGGGAGCAACGGG
rnacentral:rRNA from 1 species